rnacentral:lncRNA from 10 species
AAGACAGCAGCCGAGACAGCAGCUGAGACGGCAGCGGCAGCUUCUCAGGGCCGGAGCCAGUUCUUGGAGGAGACUCUGCACAGGGCAUGGAUCACUGUGGUGCCCUUUUCCUGUGCCUGUGCCUUCUGACUUUGCAGAAUGCAACAACAGAGACAUGGGAAGAACUCCUGAGCUACAUGGAGAAUAUGCAGGUGUCCAGGGGCCGGAGCUCAGUUUUUUCCUCUCGGUGAGUUGGAUGUGCCUCCCACCCCAAGCCUGCACCUUGAAUCAGUGGGUCAGGGUUAGUCUAAUGUAGACUCUUAACUGUGCAUUUCUUCAGCACUUUUAUUGAGCACCUACUGCAUGCCUGACACUAGGCUCUGGGGAUG